CAAUAGAGUANCCCGGGUAGUCCUAGCCGUAAACGAUACUCGCUGGGUGUCGGCCACGGUGCGACCGUUGUCGGUGCCGUAGGGAAGCCGUGAAGCGAGCCACCUGGGAAGUACGGCCGCAAGGCUGAAACUUAAAGGGAAUUGGCGGGGGAGCACCACAACGGGUGGAGCUUGCGGUUUAAUUGGAUUCGACGCCGGAAAUCUUACCGGGACCGACAGCAAUAUGAAGGCCAGGCUGAAGACUUUGCCGGAUUAGCUGAGAGGUGGUGCAUGGCCGUCGUCAGUUCGUACUGUGAAGCAUCCUGUUAAGUCAGGCAACGAGCGAGACCCACGCCCACAGUUGCCAGCGUACUCUCUGGAGUGACGGGUACACUGUGGGGACCGCCGCUGCUAAAGCGGAGGAAGGAAUGGGCAACGGUAGGUCAGUAUGCCCCGAAUAUCCCGGGCUACACGCGAGCUACAAUGGUUGGUACAAUGGGUAUCUACCCCGAAAGGGGCGGGAAUCUCCUAAAACCAAUCUAGUUCGGAUUGAGGGCUGCAACUCGCCCUCA
rnacentral:rRNA from 1 species